ACAGUGAGAAGGCGGCUGUCUCAGCUCAAGAAUACAGCCCUUAUCAGACACUGAGCCUGCUGGCGGCUUGAUCUUAGACUAUCCAGUCUCCAGAAGAAUACUCACUGUCCUCUUCUAUAAACGAGGAAAUUGAGGCUCAGAGAACUUAAGUAACUCGCUCAAGGAUACACAAAAGUCAGGAUUCAGGACCAAGGCAAGGACUGUUUGGCUCCAAACUGAAUUUGCUUCCAUCUGAAGUUUCCAGGAUUUCAGAUUCUGCAGACUCCUGCUCUGGGAACCCUGAUGUUAUAUGUUGCCCUGGACAGAGGCAAAAGAUGGAGCGGCAGCAGAGGAGAAAUGCUUUUCUUCAGGCCCCCAGAAAUAUCCCACACUGGGCACAACAUCUCGUGGCUAUAGGCACACAGCGGAAUAUUACUUAGCCAUAAAAAAGAGUGAAAUAAUGCCAUUUGCAGCAACAUGGAUGGACCUAGAGAUGAUCAUACUAAGUGAACCGUUUGCUGCCUUAUUUUCAGCCUUCACCACAGAAUUUGACUGGUGCAUUCAACGUUCAACUUCCUUUUUUUUGCAUUGACAUUGCUGUUCUUCACGCCCCUUUGGUUUGCAGCAUACACUUUUCACCCUGAUUUUGCUCAGUUUCCAUUGUAAAAGCUGCAUUUCCUCUCCAGUCUAUCAUCACCUCUGUAAACACCAAGUCUGGACGUGUGUCCAGAUGAGCCCCAGAGAUCUCCUCCAGGCCUCUGCACGCAGAGUGCUUGCGUGCUUAAUAUCCGCAAAGCCACCUUCGCUGCCUUGAGCGAGGAGACGCAGAGUCAGGCACGGCAGCAACGGAUGUUCAUCCUCCCAACACGGUAUCGGGCAACAUGUUUGGCCACUACAGUUGUCUCACAGCAGCUAAUUCAGAAGCCAGCUCUGGCUGCCGUGCAUCCUUAAUGGGAAAUGCCUCCAGUCCUACGCUUGCAAUCAGGUCAACCAAAGGUUCACUUCCCAGCACAUUUGGAAGAAUGGCCUUCUUUUUAAAAGUUGGAAAAACUGAGUCAGAGGUGAAGAUGAAGUUUACACAUCUGUCAGCAUCAUCAUGUCUCUUGUCUGUAAUGGUGAAUGGGAUAGACAAGAUUUCUAGAAACAUGUAUUUCAUAAAUGUGGACAAAUUAUUAAGGAAAAAUAUAUUAAUGUGAAAUAAUUUAACAGAUGAAUUACAUGUAAUUUGCAUUUUUUGCAAGUAAAUAAUAGUAAUAUCUAUUUGCUUAGCCUUAUACAGCUAAAAAAUGUUUCCCAUAUAUGAGCUUAGAAAAAGCUCUUAACGUGCAUGAAUAUGGGCAUUCCCUGUUCACAGAAUGAUAAAUAGAGUCAUAGAGCGUGUCUGGGCCAAAGUUCCCGGGCGAGUGGGUGCCAGAAUCAGGACUAAAACCCUGCCUUCUACCCAGAGACCAGCUCCUCUUUAUUCCCUCCUGCUGCUGUGAGGAGGAAGGGGAUACAGGAACUUCAUGUCGAGAGCCUGGAUUAAGUGACAUUUCACUUCAUGGAGAAGUCUUCCUAGAGGCAUUUGAGAAGUUCUAGGGAACCUUGUUAUUUUGAGACAAUAUGUUUUUUUCAAACCAAGGAACACCAUUUGAGGACGUUUAGUGAAUGAAGUUCUGGGGAAAGCCCAGUGGUAGCAGGAGUGGUGGUGGAGGACUUUCCCCACUUGUCAUCUUCCAUUUACAUUUAGAUAAGGCCUGGUGGAGAACUGUAUCGCCAGUUGCAGGGUAAGUUUGAGUUGGUGUGAUCUGAAACGCAGCCAGUUCCUCUCUUUCUAAAAGGCAGAGGCACGGUAUCUAAGACUGGUAUCUUGAAAUGUAUGUGAGAACCUUCUAGCCCUGAGAGUUCCCAUCAGGCUAGGAGGUCACAGCUCUUCUAACAUGAACCGCAGCUCCGCAAUCAGUAUAAAAGUCUACAAUUACGACCAUUCUUUGGAAUCCUCUCAGCCAACGAGGACAUUCCUUGGCUGGCUUAGAAAAACCAGUGCAGAUUUGCACUGGGAAAGGAAUGCAGUCUGGAAGAAUGGCCAAUGAUUUACAGAUUAAGUCUCCUAUUAACUAAGAAAGAAUAAGGAAAGGAGGUUUAAAAACCAUUCUGCCACCGCUGCAAAAAUGUUUACAGGAGACGCAGUGUGAGUGAGAAGGUGGGGAGGUGGCAGAAGCGCUGAAUGGGACACAGAAUUGAAUGGUGGAACCAGGAGUGACCUGGCAUCGUCAUCGGGAUCCCUUAGGUCUUCAUAGCAGUUGUGACUUUCCGAGAUGAUUCAGUACUUACUAUCUCAAUGGGUUAAAAAUUAUAAAAGACUCGGUGGGUUCAGGCAGAGAGGCACCAUUUCCAUCUUAGAUAAAGACACUGAGUUUCGGCGAGGUUAGGCGUUUUAUCCAGGCAAGUCCGAAGUGGAUGAGCAGCCUCCCGAUUUCGAGGCCUGAUUUCUGAUUGCCACUAGGCGCCUGCCUCACCACAGAAGGAGAAAGUCUUGACCCAUAACCUGGGGAAAUGGGAUUGCCCGAGUGAAGCGUGAGGAGGUGGAGUUUCUCUAACUGCUCCUCAGAGAAGGAUGCUGAGUGGGGAAGACAAUGGCUGGCAGGCCUGGUGCCAGGGCCUCUGGGAGGAAGGGGCUGGAGAGGUCCAGGAGAAACAUGGGCAGGAACUGGACUGAGACAGCGUUUGAAAGAUGAACGGGGAGAUGGAAGUUUGGAGAUGGAAAGGAAAAGGCAAGCUGCAGCAGCUGACAACGGAAAGGCAAUGGCCUGUGGAAAAUAACUCAGAGGCUUCCUGCUUCUGAAGCCAGUGCUAUGCUGUCAUAGCCCACUGCUCCUGGCAGGUAAGUCCAUUCUCUUGGGUAGGAACUGCUUUACAAUUUCAGCAGAGAUGCCUAACGACUCCAACACCCAUAACUGUUAAGCAGCAUGUUCGUCUCACACCAACAGGUGACAUGGAGAGAUGCCUUGUGCCAGGCGUGUCAGGGGCCAGGAGGGCCCAGAACUCCUGACUCGGGUGUCAGAGUAGGUGUCGAAGGCCUGCCCCGUGCUCACCUCCU